UACGUAGGGUGCGAGCGUUAAUCGGAAUUACUGGGCGUAAAGUGUGCGCAGGUGGCCGCGCAAGUCGAGUGUGAAAUCCCCGAGCUUAACUUGGGAAUUGCGCUCGAAACUACGUGGCUCGAGUGUGGCAGAGGAAGGUGGAAUUCCACGUGUAGCGGUGAAAUGCGUAGAGAUCGGGAGGAAGGCCGGUGGCGAAGGCGGCGCUCUGGAACGUUUCUGACGCUGAGGCUCGAAAGCGUGGGGAGCAAACAGG
rnacentral:rRNA from 1 species